rnacentral:misc_RNA from 1 species
CCAAACUUGGUCAUUUAGAGGAAGUAAAAGUCGUAACAAGGUUUCCGUAGGUGAACCUGCGGAAGGAUCAUUAAAGUAUCUUAUCGGGAGGGAGGGGAGCCCAGCUCCGGUCCCCAAAAGGGCCGUGCAGCGGGCAAACCGUCCGACCGAAUACAACCACAAACCCGUGCACUUUCGACGGUGGAGGGAGGCUGGGCGAGAGCUCGGUGUCCUGAACCCGUCUACCACAAACCCCUUUGCUUUAAAGAACGAUGUUGCGACCGCUGUGUCGCCUAACUCAAUGUAACAACUUUCAACAACGGAUCUCUUGGCUCUCGCAUCGAUGAAGAACGCAGC